rnacentral:rRNA from 1 species
CUGCUGCCUUCCGUAGGAGUUUGGACCGUGUCUCAGUUCCAAUGUGGGGGACCUUCCUCUCAGAACCCCUAUCCAUCGAUGCCUUGGUGGGCCGUUACCCCGCCAACAAGCUAAUGGAACGCAUCCCCAUCGAUGACCGAAAUUCUUUAAUAGUUCUACCAUGCGGAAGAACUAUGCCAUCGGGUAUUAAUCUUUCUUUCGAAAGGCUAUCCCCGAGUCAUCGGCAGGUUGGAUACGUGUUACUCACCCGUGCGCCGGUCGCCAU